rnacentral:rRNA from 1 species
UCGAACGAGUUCUCGUUGAUGAUCGGUGCUUGCACCGAGAUUCAACAUGGCACGAGUGGCGGACGGGUGAGUAACACGUGGGUAACCUGCCCUUAAGUGGGGGAUAACAUUUGGAAACAGAUGCUAAUACCGCAUAGAUCCAAGAACCGCAUGGUUCUUGGCUGAAAGAUGGCGUAAGCUAUCGCUUUUGGAUGGACCCGCGGCGUAUUAGCUAGUUGGUGAGGUAAUGGCUCACCAAGGCGAUGAUACGUAGCCGAACUGAGAGGUUGAUCGGCCACAUUGGGACUGAGACACGGCCCAAACUCCUACGGGAGGCAGCAGUAGGGAAUCUUCCACAAUGGACGCAAGUCUGAUGGAGCAACGCCGCGUGAGUGAAGAAGGCUUUCGGGUCGUAAAACUCUGUUGUUGGAGAAGAAUGGUCGGCAGAGUAACUGUUGCCGGCGUGACGGUAUCCAACCAGAAAGCCACGGCUAACUACGUGCCAGCAGCCGCGGUAAUACGUAGGUGGCAAGCGUUAUCCGGAUUUAUUGGGCGUAAAGCGAGCGCAGGCGGUUUUUUAAGUCUGAUGUGAAAGCCCUCGGCUUAACCGAGGAAGCGCAUCGGAAACUGGGAAACUUGAGUGCAGAAGAGGACAGUGGAACUCCAUGUGUAGCGGUGAAAUGCGUAGAUAUAUGGAAGAACACCAGUGGCGAAGGCGGCUGUCUGGUCUGUAACUGACGCUGAGGCUCGAAAGCAUGGGUAGCGAACAGGAUUAGAUACCCUGGUAGUCCAUGCCGUAAACGAUGAAUGCUAGGUGUUGGAGGGUUUCCGCCCUUCAGUGCCGCAGCUAACGCAUUAAGCAUUCCGCC